rnacentral:rRNA from 1 species
AACGAACGCUGGCGGCAGGCCUAACACAUGCAAGUCGAGCGAGGACUUCGGUUCUAGCGGCGGACGGGUGAGUAACGCGUGGGAAUGUGCCCUUCUCUACGAAAUAGCCCUGGGAAACUGGGAGUAAUACCGUAUACGCCCUAUUGGGGAAAGAUUUAUCGGAGAAGGAUCAGCCCGCGUUGGAUUAGGUAGUUGGUGGGGUAAUGGCCUACCAAGCCGACGAUCCAUAGCUGGUUUGAGAGGAUGAUCAGCCACACUGGGACUGAGACACGGCCCAGACUCCUACGGGAGGCAGCAGUGGGGAAUCUUAGACAAUGGGGGCAACCCUGAUCUAGCCAUGCCGCGUGAGUGAUGAAGGCCUUAGGGUUGUAAAGCUCUUUCAGCUGGGAAGAUAAUGACGGUACCAGCAGAAGAAGCCCCGGCUAACUCCGUG